GACGACGACUCCUACGGGAGGCAGCAGUGGGGAAUAUUGCACAAUGGGCGCAAGCCUGAUGCAGCAACGCCGUGUGAGUGAAGAAGGUUUUCGGAUCGUAAAACUCUGUCCUAAGGGAAGAAACAAAUGACGGUACCUUAGGAGGAAGCCCCGGCUAACUACGUGCCAGCAGCCGCGGUAAUACGUAGGGGGCAAGCGUUAUCCGGAAUCACUGGGCGUAAAGGGUGCGUAGGCGGCUUAGCAAGCCAGGGGUGAAAGGCAUUGGCUCAACCAAUGUAAGCCUUUGGAACUGUUAGGCUUGAGUGCAGGAGAGGUAAGUGGAAUUCCUAGUGUAGAGGUGAAAUUCGUAGAUAUUAGGAGGAACACCAGUGGCGAAGGCGACUUACUGGACUGUAACUGACGCUGAUGCACGAAAGCGUGGGUAGCGAACAGGAUUAGAUACCCUGGUAG
rnacentral:rRNA from 1 species